AUUGAACGCUGGCGGAAUGCUUUACACAUGCAAGUCGAACGGUAGAGGGGGCAACCCCUCGAGAGUGGCGAACGGGUGAGUAAUAUAUCGGAACGUGCCCAGUCGUGGGGGAUAACGUAGCGAAAGUUACGCUACUACCGCAUACGACCUAAGGAUGAAAGCGGGGGAUCGCAAGACCGCGCGCGAUUGGAGCGGCCGAGAUCAGAUUAGGUAGUUGGUGGGGUAAAGGCUCACCAAGCCAACGAUCUGUAGCUGGUCUGAGAGGACGACCAGCAACACUGGAACUGAGACACGGUCCAGACUCCUCCGGGAGGCAGCAGUGGGGAAUUUUGGACAAUGGACACGAGUCUGAUCCAGCCAUUCCGCGUGCAGGAUGAAGGCCCUCGGGUUGUAAACUGCUUUUGUACGGAACGAAAAGGUCUCUCUUAAUACGGGGGGCUCAUGACGGUACCGUAAGAAUAAGCACCGGCUAACUACGUGCCAGCCGCCGCGGUAA
rnacentral:rRNA from 1 species